rnacentral:rRNA from 1 species
UACGGGGGGGGCAAGCGUUGUUCGGACUUACUGGGCGUAAAGGGCUCGUAGGCGGCCAACUAAGUCGGAUGUGAAAUCCCCAAGCUUAACUUGGGAACUGCAUCCGAUACUGGAUGGCUUGAAUCCGGGAGAGGGAUGCAGAAUUCCAGGUGUAGCGGUGAAAUGCGUAGAUAUCUGGAGGAAUACCGGUGGCGAAGGCGGCAUCCUGGACCGGCAUUGACGCUGAGGAGCGAAAGCUAGGGGAGCAAACGGG